rnacentral:rRNA from 1 species
GGUGUGUACAAGACCCCGAAGAGAUUUGGGGGUGCUCGAAAGAGAAUUGGAACACAGGUGCUGCAUGGCCGUCGUCAGCUCGUGUCGUGAGAUGUUGGGUUAAGUCCCGCAACGAGCGCAACCCUUGUCAUUAGUUGCUACGAAAGGGCACUCUAAUGAGACUGCCGGUGACAAACCGGAGGAAGGUGGGGAUGACGUCAGGUCCUCAUGGCCCUUAUGGGUAGGGCUUCACACGUCAUACAAUGGUCGGGACAGAGGGCAGCCAACCCGCGAGGGGGAGCCAAUCCCAGAAACCCGAUCGUAGUCCGGAUUGCAGUCUGCAACUCGACUGCAUGAAGUCGGAAUCGCUAGUAAUCGCGGAUCAGCAUGUCGCGGUGAAUACGUUCCCGGGUCUUGUACACACC